ensembl:snoRNA U3 Small nucleolar RNA U3
AAGAUUAUACUUUCAGGGGUCAUUUUUAUAGUUUGUUACUAGAGAAGUUUCUCUGAAUGUGUAGCGUAUGUGGAGGCGGGGCGUAGUGUUCUUUCCUGAGUGUGAUGCUGAUGCUAGCUGUUCUUUUCACAGCUACCCUUUGUCAUUGAUGAUCGUUCUUCUCUCUCUUUUGGGGGAGUUAGAGGGGAAGGAGUCCGUCUGA